rnacentral:rRNA from 1 species
UACGUAGGGUGCGAGCGUUAAUCGGAAUUACUGGGCGUAAAGCGUGCGUAGGCGGUUCGCUGUGUCCGAUGUGAAAGCCCCGGGCUUAACCUGGGAAUGGCAUUGGAAACUGGCGGGCUUGAGUGCGGCAGAGGGGGGUGGAAUUCCGCGUGUAGCAGUGAAAUGCGUAGAGAUGCGGAGGAACACCGAUGGCGAAGGCAGCCCCCUGGGUCGACACUGACGCUCAGGCACGAAAGCGUGGGGAGCAAACGGG